GAUGAACGCUGGCGGCGUGCCUAAUACAUGCAAGUCGAGCGAACGGACGAGAAGCUUGCUUCUCUGAUGUUAGCGGCGGACGGGUGAGUAACACGUGGAUAACCUACCUAUAAGACUGGGAUAACUUCGGGAAACCGGAGCUAAUACCGGAUAAUAUUUUGAACCGCAUGGUUCAAAAGUGAAAGACGGUCUUGCUGUCACUUAUAGAUGGAUCCGCGCUGCAUUAGCUAGUUGGUAAGGUAACGGCUUACCAAGGCAACGAUGCAUAGCCGACCUGAGAGGGGGAGAGGCAAAACUGGAACUGAGACACGGUCCAGACUACGAAGGGAGGCAGAAGGAGGGAAUAUUGGGAAAGGGGCGAAAGACGGAAGGAGAAAUGAAGAGGGAGGGAUGAAGGGAUUAGGAUCGGAAAAAACGGGGAGUAGGGAAGAAAAGAAGGGGAAGUAAAGGUGAAAAUCUUGAAGGGAAAGAAUGAGAAAGAAAAGGAUAAAGAAGGG
rnacentral:rRNA from 1 species